GAGGGAAGGAAUGUUGAGCUUAGAAUUCUUUUUAGGAGGUGGUAUUGGGAGAAGACUGUGUUCUUUGUGGUCUGAUGGAUCCAGACAGUAUCCUUGCUGUGUGUCUCUGGGAAAGUUAUAAACAUUUCCACGCUGAAGUCUCCUCUCCUCUAGAAUGGGCAUAAUAUUAUAUAUCUCAGGUUGCAAAGACUCCAAAAAGAUAAUGUAUAUGAAACGUUUAUUCUGUGUCAGAAAUAUAAUGGGCAUGUGUAAAAUACUAGCUGCUAUUGUUUGGAAAUAACCCCCUUAUCUCUCUUUCCCCUUUUCUUCAACCCCUGAAAGGCACCAACAUGCAAGUUCUGAAGAAGUUUCCUUGCUAUGGGUUUUAUUGAGCUCCCAAGCAUCACUUCUCAUCCAUCUAGAAUGUGUAGAAGGCAGUCAAGUUGUCUUCCUGCUGAGACUGCUCUCCAGGCCCUGCCUCUGUGCCAAAGAUGGAUUGAGUUUGACAGAUGGAAAAAGCAGCAGCAGCUUGAGUCUGGCUGCCAAAUGGGCCAGAGGAGGAAGUGAUCUGAGGGGUUGUGGCAUUGAACCGAAAGGCUAUGGACGUCGAUACAUGAAGUGAAGCCAAUGAAUGGUGACUCUCCUGAGGAAAUGGCAAUACUUUCCAACACUGAAUGAACCAUGUUGAAGGUUUGAAAAGAGAGAAAGAAGCUACUAGAAAGAUUUUGGUUUUGGCCACAUAACUUGUAUCACAGUUUAACUUGGAUAAUAGGAGUUGCAUAGUCAAGUGCUUCUACAUAAUGUGUGUCCCUACCUGACAUUUUAAAAUUAUAUAUAUUAUUUCUGACCACAAAACUAAAUUAAAAUCCUUGAAGAAAAUUAUGAAUUAAGAAUGAUGAUUUACUGAGACAUAGGUGCAGGUGGAGGAGUAAUAGACAUGCUGGUGGA
rnacentral:lncRNA from 1 species